CCUGGCUCAGGAUGAACGCUAGCGGCAGGCUUAACACAUGCAAGUCGAGGGGUAACGAUUCUGAGUAAUCGGAAGGCGACGACCGGCGCACGGGUGAGUAUCGCGUUUGUAACCUACCUCAAACUGGAGCAUAGCCCGAAGAAAUUCGGAUUAAUACUCCAUAAUACUAUUUUCAGGCAUCUGAAAAUAGUUAAAGCUUCGGCGGUUUGAGAUGGGCAUGCGUAACAUUAGUUUGUUGGUGAGGUAACAGCUCACCAAGACUACGAUGUUUAGGGGGUCUGAGAGGAUGGUCCCCCACACUGGUACUGAGACACGGACCAGACUCCUACGGGAGGCAGCAGUGAGGAAUAUUGGUCAAUGGGCGAAAGCCUGAACCAGCCAUGCCGCGUGAAGGAUGACGGCCCUAGUGGUUGUAAACUUCUUUUAUACGGGAAGAAACCCCUCUACGUGUAGAGGGUUGACGGUACCGUACGAAUAAGCAUCGGCUAACUCCGUGCCAGCAGCCGCGGUAAUACGGAGGAUGCAAGCGUUAUCCGGAUUUAUUGGGUUUAAAGGGUGCGUAGGCGGAAAAUUAAGUCAGUGGUGAAAUCCUGCAGCUUAACUGUAGAACUGUCAUUGAUACCGAUUUUCUUGAAUACAGUUGAGGUAGGCGGAAUGUGUAAUGUAGCGGUGAAAUGCUUAGAUAUUACACAGAACACCGAUUGCGAAGGCAGCUUACUAAACUGUGAUUGACGCUGAGGCACGAAAGCGUGGGGAGCAAACAGGAUUAGAUACCCUGGUAGUCCACGCUGUAAACGAUGAUCACUCGUUGUUGGCAAUACAUCGUCAGCGACUGAGCGAAAGCAUU
rnacentral:rRNA from 1 species